AUGUGUCUCACUGCGCACUACACACACAUCUCUGCAAUCACACACUUCUCCAGCAUGCACACAGGACUGCUCUCUCUGUGGGUGACAGGGGUUUUGUUGCUGCCUCAGUGUUUGGGUUAUACAGAUGAUAGUGAAUUUGAUUAUGCGACACAGACCGCAGGAUACACCGACUAUACAGAUUACUCCUUUGAAUAUGAAUCUGACUAUAAUACAACCAGUAUAAAUUAUGAUAUGUAUGUAACUCCCAAUCAAGGCAAUAAACAUGGAGAAUCCAAUUCAGUAAACGAAGAAGCAGUCCGCGGUGGCAUGAACCCGAUAAAUGAUGAGGCCUCAACAGUGUGUAGAUACUGUGCUGUAGGACUGGGACUUAUAGUGCAACGGUUCUGCCAAUAAACAUGACUGGGAUUUUUACACACACAGCCUGAACAAAGGUAUUGGCAUACUUUCAGACAAUACAUCCCUUUUGCGAAGAUAACAGCUCUGAGUCUUCUCCUAUAAUGCCUGAUGAAGUUGAAGAACACAUGGCAAGGGAUCUGAGACCAUUCCUACAUACAGAAUCCCUCCAGAUCCUUCAAAUUUCGAGAUUCAUGCUGGUGGA
ensembl:lncRNA